rfam:Nicotiana attenuata strain TT chromosome 12, whole genome shotgun sequence.
GGUUUAAUUCGAUGCAAAGCGAAGAACCUUACUAGGGCUUGACAUGCCGCGAAUCCUCUUGAAAGAGAGGGGUGCCUUCGGGAACGCGGACACAGGUUGUGCAUGGUUGUCGUCAGCUCGUGCCGUAAGGUGUUGGGUUAAGUCCCGCAACGAGCGCAACCCUCGUGUUUAGUUGCCAUUGUUGAGUUUUGAACCUUGAACAGACUGCUGGUGAUAAGCCGGAGGAAGGUGAGGAUGACGUACAAUUUGCUUCCUUAACUCAAUUAGUAGGACCC